rnacentral:rRNA from 1 species
CGGCACGGUGAGUAACACGUAUCCAACCUGCCGUCUACUCUUGGCCAGCCUUCUGAAAGGAAGAUUAAUCCAGGAUGGCAUCAUGAGUUCACAUGUCCGCAUGAUUAAAGGUAUUUUCCGGUAGACGAUGGGGAUGCGUUCCAUUAGAUAGUAGGCGGGGUAACGGCCCACCUAGUCAACGAUGGAUAGGGGUUCUGAGAGGAAGGUCCCCCACAUUGGAACUGAGACACGGUCCAA